AUGGUUCUAGUAAACAAAUUAUAUAGCUCUGUCAGUGCUAAGUUACAAGCUAAAAGCCUGUGAACCUUU
rnacentral:tRNA from 1 species